CAUUCUGGAUUUGUUGGGCAGAUGGAGACAUUAUAUUAGGAACUGGUCUUGUCGUUGGUGAAAACGUUGUGGGAAAUUUGACAAAUACGCAUCAUUUUGAAGUGAGAAGCAUUCACGUAUUAACAGACAAGGAUGUAUUAGGAGAAUGGGACAUACAAGUUGAAGUUUCAGACAAAUUUGCUGGAUAUUUUGACAGUUGUAGUAUGGAUAAUACCAAGUCUGAGUUGGUUGUAGUGGAUAACAUGGAAUGUUCAGAAAUGAUGUGUGCUACGAGCUGUGGACGGUCAAAGACUUGUAUGGGUUACAAUUUCAACAAUGCAAUGAACAGAUGUGAACUACUCUCUUUUGAAUCAAAUGUUGUGACAGACAUACCACAUCACAUUGAAGCCGGAUGGAGAUUCUAUAGUAAAUGUUACAAUAGGCAAACUGCUUGUCUUGGGUGUUAUUUUUAGACGACUUAUUGA